rnacentral:lncRNA from 1 species
CUCGCUUCUCCUUCACUCGCCUCAGAGGCGCGGCGCUACGGGAGCGUGCUGGAGCCGAGCCGGACGGAGGCGGGGCCGGAGCGAGGAUUCCGUGGGAGCGCUGAGCUUAGCUGGCGCUCCCUGGGAAAUUCAUAAGGAUCGGAGGGAAAGGGGGCCUCUGGCUCUGUUCCUAGUUGCACCAACCUGAAAGCUAAUGGCACAGUUCAAACACCAGUGCCUUGCCUGCUCCACCACAGUGUGAAUGUACCCGCCGCCAGGACUCCUUCAACCCUCACAAUCCUGGGCAGAGCGUGGAUGGAAUGACCUGCACAUUGGAGCCCAUGUCUCUGUGCAGCGCGCCAGCUGGAUCAGCAGCCUCUGUCCUGCAGGGCGAUGAGGCCUUGGAGGUUCAGUUUACCCAGGAAAUUCCAGAACAGCCCCCUGCUAUGCCUUGACCACCACACAGAAAAGGUUGCGGGAGAUGACCUCUUCCCAGCCCAGUCUUUCGGCUGUAGCAGCCAGGGCCGCGCCCAGGGCCUCCGCGCUCUCCGCCCCGCCCUCCCAGGUUCGCGUCCCUCGGCGCGGGGCCGUCCCUCGCCGGGCCGCCUACCCCGUCCCCGGCUUCCCGCGGAGGAAAUUCUUCCCCAGCAGCCCAAGGCUCGCCUCACGUGAUCAGCCGCCGCGGCUUCCAGCGAGAGUUUAAAGGUUAUGGAGGAAAUUAGCACGGCCACAGUCACUCGCCCCCCAGAGGGAGCGCCCCGUUUCCCCGCAGCUCGGACGGCCGCUGUCAGCACGCUGAUCAGAGCCAUGUCCCCCAAAAGGGCACAGACGAGGUCCAGAAUAAAUACGAAGUCACUUUGUAAAAAAUAAACA